CUACGGAGGGUGCAAGCGUUAUCCGGAAUCAUUGGGUUUAAAGGGUCCGUAGGCGGACUAUUAAGUCAGAGGUGAAAUCCCACAGCUCAACUGUGGAACUGCCUUUGAUACUGGUAGUCUUGAGAUAUAUGGAAGUAGAUAGAAUGUGUAGUGUAGCGGUGAAAUGCAUAGAUAUUACACAGAAUACCGAUUGCGAAGGCAGUCUACUACGUAUAUACUGACGCUAAGGGACGAAAGCGUGGGGAGCGAACAGGAUUAGAAACCCUAGUAGUCC
rnacentral:rRNA from 1 species